UGCGAAUAGCUCAUUAAAUCAGUUAUAGUUUAUUUGAUGGUGCCUUACUACAUGGAUACCCGUAGUAAUUCUAGAGCUAAUACAUGCCAAGAAAACCCGACCUUCCGGAAGGGUUGUAUUUAUUAGAUAAAAAACCAAUCCUCGCAAGAGGAACUGUGUUGAUUCAUAAUAACUGUUCGAAUCGCAUGCCGCAAGGCGGCGAUAGAUCAUUCAAAUUUCUGCCCUAUCAGCUCUCGACGGUAGUGUAGUGGACUACCGUGGCAUUAACGGGUAACGGAGAAUUAGGGUUCGAUUCCGGAGAGCGCGCCUGAGAAACGGCGAGCACAUCCAAGGAAGGCAGCAGGCGCGCAAAUUACCCAAUCCUGAUACAGGGAGGUAGUGACAAAAAAUAACAAUACCGGGCUUUUUAAGUCUGGUAAUUGGAAUGAGUACAAUUUAAAUCCCUUAACGAGGAACAAUUGGAGGGCAAGUCUGGUGCCAGCAGCCGCGGUAAUUCCAGCUCCAAUAGCGUAUAUUAAAGUUGUUGCAGUUAAAAAGCUCGUAGUUGGAUUUCUGGUAUGGUGCGCCUGGCCCACGGUUGCAAAACCGCGAGUGUCGGUGUGCGCCUGCCAUCUUUCUAGUUAACUGGACGCACUUAACUGGGCGGUCAGCGAUCUAGUUCUUUUACUUUGAAAAAAUUAGAGUGUUUAAAGCAGGCUUGCGCUAUGAAUACAUUAGCAUGGAAUAAUAAUUUAGGACUUUACGCCUAUUUUAUUGGUUUCUAGGAGUGAAGUAAUGAUUGAUAGGGAUAGUUGGGGGUGCUAGUAUUCAUCGGCCAGAGGUGAAAUUCUUGGAUUCGAUGAAGACUAACUAAUGCGAAAGCAUUCACCAAGGAUGUCUUCUUUAAUCAAGAACGAAAGUUGGGGGAUCGAAGACGAUCAGAUACCGUCGUAGUCUCAACCAUAAACUAUACCGACUAGGGAUAAGGGGAAGUUGCUUUUUCGACUUCCUUUGCACCUUAUGAGAAAUCAGAAGUCUUUGGGUUCUGGGGGGAGUAUGGUCGCAAGGCUGAAACUUAAAGGAA
rnacentral:rRNA from 1 species